rnacentral:rRNA from 1 species
AAUGACAGCAUCACCACAUUGUAGCCUGUUUUUGAACAGUUCUGUUCUCAGAAGGUAAGCAGGGCUGGGCCUGGUCAUUACUGGGACAGGAGACCACUAAGGAAAAUCAGGUUGUUGGUGGUU